GUCUGAGCCACGCAGAGUGCUGUCCCCAGGUCCACACUCAGGCAGAGGUGGUCCUCACUGGUCCUCCAGCUUCACAAGGGCACUACACUGUUGAGCUGCAACCCGGUGCACUCAGAAUGAAACCUGCUGGGGAUCACAGCCCAGCCUCAUGAGGUCCCCAGGUGAUCCGAGUCCACAGCCAAGAGGAAGGCUCGCCAUUUGAAAACCUGAAGACACAAGACGGCAGUCUGCAACCUGGAAGAUGCCCUCAUAACAAUCCCACCAUGCUGGCAUCCUGAUCUCAGACUUCCAAUCUCUAGGCCUGUGAGAAAUAAAUAUCUGUUGUUUAUAAGCCA